AGCACAAAUGAUGAUUGAUAUAGGGACUUAAUACUGAAACCUGAUGCUACAUUUGCAAUGUGCUGAUGUGC
ensembl:snoRNA SNORD82 Small nucleolar RNA SNORD82